ensembl:snoRNA LOC120093406 small nucleolar RNA SNORD113/SNORD114 family
UGGAUCAAUGAUGACUGUGGGUGCUGUAUGAGUCAUGUAUGAGUCAUGAUCAUGACAACAAGUCUGCGAGUCUGAGGUUCAC